rnacentral:tRNA from 1 species
GUGCUUGUAGCUUAGAUGGUUAAAGCGUUCGCCUGAUAAGCGAAAGAUCAAUGGUUCGAAUCCAUUCAAGCGCA